rnacentral:misc_RNA from 1 species
UCCAUUUAUCGAUCACCCGAAUUUAGCCGAAGAUAUUUUUCGUCUGCAAUAUUUAGUCAAGUUGAAAACCGUAUAUGAAGAAAAUGACGAUCGACAUUCGCCAGCGUCAAUUACGGCGCGUCGUUAGUGUAUAUUUAUUUGAACAAAAAAUGACACUUAUCACCUCUUAUCGAAAAUAAUUUUGUUUCAUUCGUUCCUGUACCACUAUAUCCCGAUUAACAGCCCUCCUCGAUCAAUGCAUCAUUUGACUUUAUUACACUGGGAUUAUUGCGGUUGAAAUGGCUGUAUUUAUGCUAAAUAUUUGUAAAUUCAAUGGUUGUGGCCUUACGUUCAAAAGCUUAGGCGAUCUAAUACAACACAUCGAGGAAACUCAUAUUGAUUAUGACCCCCGAGUUGUUGAGCAAACAGAGCAACAGCAGCCAACUUGUAUACCUCUGAGUUAUGUAUUACGAUUCUUGACGGAUGCUGCACGAAAAGAGGGCGUCAAGCCCGUUCAUCAAUCCAGGUCAAAUCAAACCUGUCUUCCUUCCUCAACGCGCAACAAAAAUAAUACUCCUACGGGCAGUGAGGCAGAGGAGGGAGAGGACUUUGUUAGUGAGCCAGAAGACAGCAAUGACUCCUGGACCACUUCCUUGGAGUUCUCCGCUGACUUCAUCCUUCGUUAUGGCAGCAGGGCUGUGAGCCAAAAUACUGCGAAUCAAAACAACAAUACGGACAAGCCAUUUGCCUGCCCCGUACCUGGAUGUAAAAAACGCUACAAGAACAUCAAUGGCAUAAAGUACCAUUCUAAAAACGGGCACAAAAAUGAUAACAACCACAACUAAGAAAAUAACAACGAAUAAAAGAAAACAGAUUUUGGAUUGAUCGAGUUUUGCGAGCAGUUCAUCAGGUGUGACAGCUUUUUUUACUUGGAAAAUAAGCUUCAGAAUAUCAACAGCUUUUAUUAUUUUGAAUAAUGAAUCGAGUUCAUCGAAAUGCACAUACUAUUUGUCGGGUUCUUGCUGCUGCCCUGCUUUUAUCAGUCCUGCAAGUACAACUAUCACACGAUGGUACGGAAGGCGUUUAAAUGUCCAUGUGGAAAGAGCUACAAAACUUCAUAUGGCUUGAAAAACCAUGCAGCAAUACAACACAGCAGUUCUCUACUACAGGUGAAGAUACUGCAAAAUAAC